GCAUAUCAAUAAGCGGAGGAAAAGAAACCAACAGGGAUUGCCUCAGUAACGGCGAGUGAAGCGGCAACAGCUCAAAUUUGAAAUCUGGCUCCUUCGGGGCCCGAGUUGUAAUUUGGAGAAGAUGCUUCGGGUGUGGUCCCGGCCUAAGUUCCUUGGAACAGGACGUCACAGAGGGUGAGAAUCCCGUACGUGGCCGGUGGCCGCUCCCGUGUGAAGCUCUUUCGACGAGUCGAGUUGUUUGGGAAUGCAGCUCAAAAUGGGUGGUAAAUUUCAUCUAAAGCUAAAUAUUGGCCAGAGACCGAUAGCGCACAAGUAGAGUGAUCGAAAGAUGAAAAGCACUUUGGAAAGAGAGUUAAACAGUACGUGAAAUUGUUGAAAGGGAAGCGCUUGCAACCAGACUUGCGCGGGGUUGAUCAUCUGGUGCUCGCACCGGUGCACUCGACCCCGCGCAGGCCAGCAUCGGUUUGGGCGGCUGGAUAAAGGUCCUAGGAACGUGGCCCCCUUCGGGGGGUGUUAUAGCCUAGGGCGCAAUGCAGCCUGCCCGGACCGAGGACCGCGCUUCGGCUAGGAUGCUGGCGUAAUGGUUGUCAGCGACCCGUCUUGAAACACGGACC
rnacentral:rRNA from 2 species